GAAGUCCGCUAGGCCGUCGCUGGUGCAAUCUGCAAGGACUGUGUUGCAAAACAUGGGGUGGAAACACCGCACUGGAGGAACGUCCGGACUGCAAAGGAGAGCGCAGGAGGUAACACCUCUCCACCGUGAGGUGAGGAUUAGAGCAACAGAGACGAGUCGACAAGGGCAACUUUGUCGGGUGAAACGGGCAAUCUCUGCGCGCAGCAAUACCAAGUAGGCCUUCGGGAUGUUGCAAAACAUUCGCCUGUGAUCCGCAGGUUGUGUUGGCGGGUAGGUAGCACCGAGCCGUGUGGGUGACCCACGGCCCAGAGGAAUGACGGUCACAUGAAGGAAACUUCGUGCACAAAAUCCGGCGUAUCGGUGGGCUUCACUU
rnacentral:RNase_P_RNA from 1 species